GGGUGUGUGGAAGCCUAAUCUCCUCUAGGCAUGUGGAAAAGCAUAGAAGGCCUAAGGGUGGAAUCCUAUUUAUGGUCUUCAAGUUCUAAUCCCAUUAGGAUUCUAGGUAGUUACAUUAGCCACCUUAUCCACCAAACUAUUUAACCACCCAACUAACUAACCUCCCAACUAAUUAACCAAUUAAUUAAUCCUGGGAGUUAGGGAGUUAUUGUGUGGAAGAGGAAGAGAGAUGGGGCGUGUGGACUCUUUUAGAAUGGGUUUUGACUUAGUC
rnacentral:lncRNA from 1 species